AUUGACCGCUGGCGGCAGGCCUAACACAUGCAAGUCGAACGAGUGGCGGACGGGUGAGUAAUGUCUGGGAAAAUGCCUGAUGGAGGGGGAUAACUACUGGAAACGGUAGCUAAUACCGCAUACCAUCGGAUGUACCCAGAUGGGAUUAGCUAGUAGGUGGGGUAACGGCUCACCUAGGAGACGAUCCCUAGCUGGUCUGCGAGGAUGACCAGCCACACUGGAACUGAGACACGGGCCAGACGCCGACGUGAGGCAGCAGUGGGGAAUAUUGCACAAUGGGCGCAAGCCUGAUGCAGCCAUGCCGCGUGUAUGAAGAAGGCCUUCGGGUUGUAAAGUACUUUCAGCGGGGAGGCGUUACCCGCAGAAGAAGCACCGGCUAACUCCGUGCCAGCAGCCGCGGUAAUUC
rnacentral:rRNA from 1 species